CCAGCUGUCCCUGCGCCCUCCUCCGCGCCCCGCGGGCGCCCGUGCAGCUCUGCCCUCGCUCACCCUCCGGGCUGCCACCUGGGUUUCACAAGUAGCACCUUCCAAAUCUCUCUGUCUUCAAGUUUGUGCAUGUCUGUGUGGCAUCCCUCCUCCUCCUUCACUCCCAUAGUGGAUCUUGCAAAGGGCUUCAGAUCGGCCCCAUUCAUCUCCCUGGUGAUAGCAGUGAAUGUAGAUAAAUCUCUGCCUGCCUGCUUGCUGCUGGAGUAUGAUUUUUAUUUUGUCUUCUGUGUAUACCUAGGUCAAAAAGUGGGAUGUAUACUGACGUUGGACUCCAAGAUGCCGGCCUCGGCUUGGAACGGAGCGGUGUCAUGGCGGAGACGACGGCCUUUGUCUGGCAGGGUGUGAAAGCAUCCGUUGUGCUGGCUCCAUCGUGGCAGAACGACGCGGAAAGGGGGAAAAAGUGCCAGGAGCGGGGCUGUGGGGGCUGGCAGGGCCCAGCCCCACGUCCCAGCAGAGCCGGUCGGUAAUCCUGGCACGGGCGCUGUGGGGCUGCCUGCCGCUGCCUCCUGCCUCUGGAUAAUCUCCCCGGGCUCACGGCAGCGUCUGGCCCGCGCGGGCCCCCGUCACAUACACCCGCAAUCGCGGGAGCGGUGGCGUUGCCACUGAAUGGAUGGCACCGUGCCAGCUCCGCUGCCAUCCGCCCUUGCAGCUCCUUUCCUCCCUCCUCCUCCCGCUCUCCCCUCCUCCUCCUCCUCCCGUCGACUUGACGUUAAUUAACACACGGGUUAAUUGAUUUUAAAAGCUGAAGAAUUACAGUUAACUUUUCCCACAGGGCAGGGACGCCAGCCGCCGGGCAUGGUCCUGCGCUCCUGCGGGGGCAGGGAGGAGCCCAAGGGACCGACAGACGGAUGGAUGGAUGGAUGGAUGGAUGGACGGAUGGAUGGAUGGACAGUGUCUGCCUGUUGGCUGGGGGCGACCAGCAAUCCCACCUCGUCCUCCCCACAUGUCACUGCAACAUUUGCUAUAAACAAUCACAGAAAGCCCAGCCCUCACACCCACCCUCCCACCCUCCUUUUGCUGUCCCAGUCCAGGCAGGAGCGCUGUGCCGAGGGGUGACCAGCCUGCACUAUCCCCUGGGCCCUUCCCCACGGAGGGGUGACCCGCCUGCACAGGGUCUGGCACAGCAGGGGCCCCCACCCAAGCACCCGCCGCUGCAAGGGGCACCGGGAAUGCUCCCCAUCACGGGCUUGCCCUGUCUUCCAAGGCUCUUUUUCGUUUCCUGAAUUGGCUUAGCUCCAUCACUUGGGGUGAAGCAUCUAAACCAGGGGACAGUUCGUUCCUUGCAAUCACGAGAGAAACAAGCCAUGCAAGGGCUUUGUUUUUUGCUCUCCCUCGCCCCGGUCCCUGCCUGCAGCGGGGACGAGAGCAGCAGCGCUGGGAACUUGCUUCUUGUGCUUUCAUUUUAUUUCGUUUUGUUUUUUUAAAAGCAUGAAGCAAGUGAAGCGACGAGAGGAAUCCAUUAUGCAAAUCAGGUCACAUUUGCAUAAUGUCUCAUGACUGAAUAUGCAAAUGAGUUGUAUAAUUUAUGAGUGCCAGUGUCUGUCUAAAAGUGUUUCCCAGAAUUUAUAAAAAGUGAGGCACGGGGAGGGCAGCUGGGCUGGCUGCCCUGCCAGGAGGGCUCUGCGCUUUCUUUUCAAAGUCUUCUGGAGAUCAGCAGCUCAAACGCUCAUUAAUGAGAAGCAAACCCCCCUUCCCACCCUGUCCCCUCGGUUUAUUUUCUGUUUCUCCCUCUGCCAAGCCCCCACCUGCUCCCUCCGAAGUUCUCCAGGAGGGUUUGGCUGGUGCUGGAGCCGGGGCACUCCCACACUGGCAGGCUCCACCAGGGUCUCCCUCUGGACAUCUCUUACCAGCAGGAGAAACCCUGGAGAGCGAGCUCCAUGGCUCGGUGUGCAUCAGGGAGCCGCAGGAGCCGCCUCGCACCGGCAGGCAUGGCAGGAUGGCUGCUGGUUCCCAUGCUCCGAGGCAGGGACAUGCCAAGGAGAUCAAGGUCAGCACAGGGUGGCAGUGCCAGCAGAGAGGGACCUCGUGGCUGCCGUCUGGAGUCGCAGCGCACAGCUUCACCACUGGAAAGGUCUCUGGAACAUCCGGACAGCUGGAUGCUCAAGAGCAGAGGAUCUAUCAACUGCAGACCAAGCAGAGGGAGAGGCAGGCAGAACUGGAGCAGAAAUGCAGCCGGAUCCAGCAGCUCAGCCAGGUCCCGGAGGCCAGCAACCUGCUGCAGGAGGAAGCUCAGGAGCAGCUCCUUAAAAAGAGCAGACGGAUCCUGAGACAAGGCAGGACAUGGCAGGACCGGUCCUUGCAAAGGAGCCCGGAGCAGCAAAGGAGAGAAGACUGUCCAUGAUCAGCCCGAGGCGUGUCUGGCCUGGGCCACUGUCCUGUCUCUGGCAGGAGCCAAGAACUGCUCUCUGGGUCAGUGUGAGAUACCACAGGACAGCACGGAGCACUCCACCAGCCUCCAGAGAUCUGCAGCUCAGAGGCUUCAGAAGCAACACUGGGGCCUUGCAUUUAAUAAUUGUAAGUGGAUUUUUUUCUCCCAUUAAAAUGUUUAAUUUCUUUUUGAAUGCAUAUAAACUGUGGGAGCCCAGCAUACCCUGUGUGCAGCAGUCUGACGCAACAUACAUUUAAAAAAAGAACUGCUUUUUGUUUUGUAGUCAUUACCUGCUAAUGUAUGGGGUGCUGCCAGCUCUUAUAUUUAAGAGACAAUGAGAAAUCAUCCUGCAGACAACCUCCAUAUGCCAAACUUGUUUUUAUAAUCCUCUCCAGUUAUUUCUUUUCCAGGCUAAAGAGGCUAUCUACUUUUUCUUCAUAUGGAAAAUAUUCUUUGUAUUUGAUCACCCUUGUUGCUUGUCUCUGAAAGCCUUCCAACUCUAUUUUCCUGGAGAGAGGCAGACCAGAGCUGCAUAUGGUAAUCACAAUGCAGUUUCCACUAUGGCUCUGUUCAGUGGCAGAACUCCCCAUGAUCUGCUCCCCAUUAUUUUCCUAAUAAUGCUUAACAGUCAGUUUGCCUUUUGGGCUGCUCCUGGGCACUGAGCAAAUGUUUCCAUAGAACCAUCUCUCCAUCUACAUCUGGUUUUAUCUAGGACAGCCCUGAGUCCUCAUUCCUGAGGAGGGAACAGAGCUACAGCAGCUGGGACUGCAAGUGACAUCUUGUAAGAAAGAAAGUGCAAAUGCCCCAAAACUUCAGCAGGGUUAAGACCACCUGGUUGUGUCUCCUACCUUCAAAAUCAGCUACUCAACAUCUGAAAAACAAGAAAGGAAGAGUUCAGAGCCACCUCGCAGCCUGCAGCCCUGUCCCCUUCCAGCCACAUCUGCCCCACGUGCAGAUGCCUGAGAAGCUGCCUCUGCCUCUGGGGAGAGCUCAGGAACCUGCUCCUCGCGGGGCAAAGCCCGGGGCCAGGCCGGGCAGCACUGCUGGGAGCAGCCCACGUUGGCCCCGGGACACAGAACAGCCCUGCCCGCUGAACAGGGUCACCUUGUCAGGACUGCUGCUGGGCUGGCACAGCCGGUGCCCCGGGCCAGGCCCCUUCCCCACGGAGGAGAGGCGGCCCCGGGGCCUCCCGGGGCACCCCGAGCUGCCCAAGAGCACAAGCCACAGCGCGCUCCCUCAGCCCCUCGUCGCGUUUUCCCCCUGUAGCUCCAGAGCGAGCAGGAGGGGAUCACGCAGUCUGACCUCCUGUACCUGCAGUCAAGAACAUUUCACCGUGUUACUGCUGAAUUCAACAACGUGUUUGACAAAGGCAGCUGCAGAAGGGCAUUCAGCUGGAUGUGAAGACAUCAAGAGAUGGCAAAUGCAGCAUUUCCUCCCUUGGCGGGCAAUCCCUUCGCACCACUGACUUGUGUUCUGAUUGCAGCUGUGCCAGCGGGGCUAAGGAAGCUUUCUGUGCAGCAGCAGUGUGGUCUCAGCUUUGUUUCUCCUAGUUUUCAUGCUUUAUCUUUUAUGUAUCUUAGCAUACUCAUUUAUUUUUGGCCAAAGACUUAAGCUUAACCAUAAAGAAAGGAAGAGCAUGAGGUUCCCCUCUUUCUGCCUGUGUUUCUGCAUUCCCAUGCCCACCUGUCCUGUGGAGGUCCUCACCACACAAGCCUUAUUCCACUUGCCCAGCUCUGUGGGGUUUCCAUCUCUCCUCCACCUCCCCACUUUCCCCUGCCCUUUCCCACCAGCUGCUGCCAUUGCUGCUGGUUUGGAAGGAGGAAGGGACAGCCUCCAGAGGCCCCUGCUCCAGGCAUCCACCACACUGGGUCUGUCCCCCCAGGCAGCUGGAAAGGCAGAGGAGGCAACAGGAGCCCCAGCAAAGCCCCAGCAUCUGCAGCACCAGCCCAAGUCUACAUACCUGGUGAUGGAGCAACAGGAACGUCCAGGGUUGGCUUUGGUGUGACGCUGGGUGGGGGUCCCACCUGCCCCAGCACCUGCCUCACCAUCCUGCUUCCCUGGGCUUUGCGGGGCUUAGGUGGCACCGAGCACUUCUGCCUGCUCCAGGACUUGGCCUGGACUCCCCACUUGUGCUGGAAACACAGUAGGGCAGGCCCCUCCUUGGUUUUGCCUCUGUAGCUGUUUCCUCCUACUCUGUUUUUACACAUCUAGCUCUUUCUUUCUCCCUUCUCUGGAGGGGACCCUCUCCCAAGGGCUGCAAUGUUUCUUUAAUAAGUAUUUUUCAAGUAGCUGGCUGAGACCCUGGAAGGAUAAUGAGAUCGUUUUCAUUGCAGACUGCAAAGCCAUGCAAGACUUUCCUGUUUGUUAUUUCUCCCCUGUAGACUCUGACCAUGCUACUGAUAAUUUAUGAUUGUUGAUAUUCCCCACCAGCCAAACACACCGAGUGUGCCCUAGACAGCAGCCAGUGAUUAGACCAGAGGCACCCGUUUCCUGCGAACACGGAGAAUUGGAAAUUAUCACUAGAACCGCAGAGAAAUAACCUUUAAAGCUCAUUAAAAUUCCAGGAACGCA